GAUCAUAAGCUAUUGCUGAAAAAAAGUAUUUGCAUUAUCUGCAUUAUUAUGGAUUGUGGGUUACCUAUCAAAUAGAACACAGAGUUACUUAUCUAAUAGAACACAGAGUAACCUAUCUAAUAGAACACAGAGUUACCUAUCUAAUAAAACACAGAGUUACCUAUCUAAUAAAACACAGAGUUACUUAUCUAAUAGAACACAGAGUAACCUAUCUAAUAGAACACAGAGUUACUUAUCUAAUAAAACACAGAGUUACCUAUCUAAUAGAACACAGAGUUGCCUAUCUAAUAGAACACAGAGUUACCUAUCUAAUAGAACACACAGUUACCUAUCUAAUAGAACACAGAGAGUUACCUAUCUAAUAGAACACAGAGAGUUACCUAUCUAAUAGAACACAGAGAGUUACCUAUCUAAUAGAACACAGAGUUACCUAUUUAAUAGAACACAGAGUUACCUAUCUAAUAACACACAGAGUUACCUAUCUAAUACAACACAGAGGGUUUUCAUUAAUGGAAGCCUCUCUCAUGCAAAUUCAGUUGAAUGUAGUGUACUGCAGGGCAGCCUGCCAGAGACAUUUUUUUCUUCUGAUUUUACAAAUGACCUUCCACUGAUCUUGAAUAAGAGUCUGUGUGUCUAUGUAUGCUGAAGACUCAACAGUAUACACGUCGGCUGCAACAGUAAAACAAACAACCCUUAACAUAGAGCUCCAGUGAGUUUUAGAAUGGGUCAUUA
rnacentral:lncRNA from 13 species